UACAGAGGGUGCAAGCGUUAAUCGGAAUUACUGGGCGUAAAGCGUGCGUAGUCGGUUAUUUAAGUCGGGUGUGAAAUCCCCGGGCUCAACCUGGGAAUUGCAUUCGAUACUGGAUAGCUAGAGUUCGGCAGAGGGAAGCGGAAUUUCUGGUGUAGCGGUGAAAUGCGUAGAUAUCAGAAGGAACAUCAGUGGCGAAAGCGGCUUCCUGGACCAGAACUGACGAUCAGGCACGAAAGCGUGGGGAGCAAACAGG
rnacentral:rRNA from 1 species